rnacentral:lncRNA from 1 species
AUAUAUGUACUUUUUGGACAGUGACUCGUAGAAAAUCCUGAGAGGUUCCCUCUGCCAAAUAAAAAAAAAACAAAUCAGAUGAAUGGAAACAUAGAUGUACUCUAACAUGAACGAAUUAAGAAGAGGGAGACGGAUGUGAUUCAGUUACGGUACCUUGGAAGGAUCCAACUUCUAGCCGGGCAGGGAGAAGGCAUUCUUGGCCGCUUGCCUGGUACAUGGAUUUGACAUUGGAUGAAGCUAGCGAUAUGGAUCUCCCACCUCCUUUACCCUUCAUGAGAAGGAGAACACAGCAGAAUAGAACCCUUCAG